GAGUUUGAUCGUGGCUCAGAUUGAACGCUGGCGGCAUGCCUUACACAUGCAAGUCGAACGGCAGCACGGGAGCUUGCUCCUGGUGGCGAGUGGCGAACGGGUGAGUAAUGCAUCGGAACGUAUCCUGGAGUGGGGGAUAACGUAGCGAAAGUUACGCUAAUACCGCAUAUUCUGUGAGCAGGAAAGCGGGGGACCUUCGGGCCUCGCGCUCUUGGAGCGGCCGAUGUCGGAUUAGCUAGUUGGUGAGGUAAAGGGCUCACCAAGGCGACGAUCCGUAGCAGGUCUGAGAGGAUGAUCUGCCACACUGGAACUGAGACACGGUCCAGACUCCUACGGGAGGCAGCAGUGGGGAAUUUUGGACAAUGGGGGCAACCCUGAUCCAGCCAUGCCGCGUGAGUGAAGAAGGCCUCGGUUGUAAG
rnacentral:rRNA from 1 species